rnacentral:rRNA from 1 species
UACAGAGGUCCCGAGCGUUUGUUCGGAUUCAUUGGGCGUAAAGGGUGCGUAGGCGGCGGGGCCAGUCUGAUGUGAAAUCCCGGGGCUCAACCCCGGAACUGCAUUGGAUACUGCCUUGCUCGAGUACUGGAGAGGGAACUGGAAUUUACGGUGUAGCAGUGAAAUGCGUAGAGAUCGUAAGGAAGGCCAGUGGCGAAGGCGAGUUCCUGGACAGUUACUGACGCUGAGGAAGCGAAAGCCAGGGGAGCAAACGGGAUUAGAUACCCCGUAGUCAGAUCCAAGAUCCAGUCUCGUGAC